rnacentral:ncRNA from 1 species
UUUUGCAGCGUGGUAUCGAUAGGCUUGAUAAACAGACUAUUAUUCUUCAGCUGGACGUCGCCUUUGGCGGUGGUCAUCUCGCCGUCCAGCGGGAUGUUCAAAUGUAAGCGAGCGCUCACAUCCCCAUCCAACUGAAGCUCGUCCAGCGCCGCGCCCAGCGUCUCUUUCAACGGCGUCUCGUUAAAGUAAGGACCAACCUCUUUACCCGGGCCGUUAACAUCGGCAUCAAUCAGCAGUUUUUCUCGCGAGUAGUCCGGUAUCACCGCGUCCAGAUUACUGGCCGUCACUUUGCCGAGCAUCGCCUUAUCGGCCUUCAUCCACAGCCCGUCAUUGAUAAAGUUAAGAUCGAUAUUCAGGCCGGUGAGCGCUGGCCAGUCAGGCUGAAAGGCGAAGGUGGCGUUUUUUAGCGGUAC